UCAGAAGUAGCUCAGCUGGGAGAGCAUCCGACUUGCAGAGCGGGGGGUCCUAGGUUCAAUCCCUAGCUUCUGAC
rnacentral:tRNA from 1 species